rnacentral:lncRNA from 12 species
GUUGACUGUUCUUUGUUUCAUGGUUUAUAUUAGUGACUACACUUUAGAAAUAUAGUCUAGAUCCUUUUUUUUUUUUGUAAAGUUUUCCCACCUAUACAUUAUUAAUGUGAAGAAUUAUAAUACCAAGUCAAUGGCGAUCCUGUGUGCCGUUAGGAUCACAGCAGUGUUAGCAUGACAGGUAUGAUGAAACCUCUUGGCAGUCCCAUGAGGCAGCUUUUGAAAGCUGUCAGGCCAGAUGCAGGAAACCAAUUCGUUUGCUGUACGGAAUUCCUUGCCAUCGCUGACUGUGCACUGGCACUGGCCUUUCCUCCUGGAGGCACGGGAGGAAUGUCAGUUUCCGUGCUCCUUAGUAUAUACACGAAGACAUGAGAUUUGUUUUGAUAAUAAAAGGUGAAGGCAUCAGAGAGGAGUGGGUUGGACCAUCCUGAGCACUUUGCGGCUUGAUAAAUGGCAUCCUUGGAUGUGCCCUUGCCUUUGACACCACUUGUCCCCACCCUGUGCACCAACAAAGGGGUUAGUUGGAAGGCUUACAAUCUCUGACCAAGGUUGUGGGUAGAUCAAUAUGAGGUAGGCAUAGGCUGACCCAGUGUCUCAGUGAUU